rnacentral:miRNA from 1 species
UCUCUCUCUCUCUCUCUCUCUCUCUCUCUCUCUCUCUCACGCACACACACACAGAGAGAGAGAGAGAGAGAGAGAGAGAGAGAGAGAGAGA